AUGGCUCGCAAGAAGGUGGCCCUCCGGUACAUCCGCAAUAACUCGGCGCGGCGCAAUGCCUUGAAGAAGCACACUAAGAUCCUGAUGAAGAAGGCAGGUGAGGUGGCCGCCGUGCCCGAUGCUAAGGCAUGUGUGGUCGUGUAUGGCGAGGGCAUGGCGGUGCCAGAGGUGUUCCCAUCCCAUGCCGAGGCAGUGGCUAUCCUGAAUCAGUUCAAGAGCAUGCAAGAGGAGGCGCGACUAAAGAAGACGAUGGACCAAGAGAGCAUCCUCCGCGAGCGUAUCGUAAAGCUCCGAGACCAGGUCCAGAAGGCUAGGCGCGAGCAGCAGGACCAGGACGCCAAGAUUCUCCUGUAUAAGGCCUUGAAAAGUGGCCACAUCCCAGACAACAUCGAGGAGCUCACAGCCCUGGGAUCGAAGGUGGACUCAAUCCUCAAGAGCCUAGGUGAAUGCACCCAAAAAAUGAGUGGACAUCCACCAGUUGACCAAGCCCAGGCACCAUACAUCACCAAUGGCAUGGGCAUGGGGCCUCCAAUUAUGUAUCAGGCACCACCACAGCAACAGGAGGGUCGUCUUAACACUGUGAGGUUCGAAAGGGCCCCUACCACUGUGAUCUACAAUAGUGACAAUACUGGUGGCCAUGACGGCAAUAACGUCGUCUUCUCUCGUGGUCACAUGAAUAUGUAA
rnacentral:rRNA from 1 species